GUGGCGCACGGGUGCGUAACGCGUAUGCAACCUACCUUUAUCAGGGGGAUAGCCUCUCGAAAGAGAGAUUAACACCGCAUAAAAUCACAAGCUGGCAUCAGCAAAUGAUCAAAUAUUUAUAGGAUAAAGAUGGGCAUGCGUGACAUUAGUUUGUUGGUGAGGUAACGGCUCACCAAGACUACGAUGUCUAGGGGAUCUGAGAGGAUGACCCCCCACACUGGUACUGAGACACGGACCAGACUCCUACGGGAGGCAGCAGUAAGGAAUAUUGGUCAAUGGGGGCAACCCUGAACCAGCCAUGCCGCGUGCAGGAAGACGGCCCUCUGGGUUGUAAACUGCUUUUAUCCGGGAAUAAACCCUUUUACGUGUAAGAGGCUGAAUGUACCGGAAGAAUAAGGAUCGGCUAACUCCGUGCCAGCAGCCGCGGUAAUACGGAGGAUCCAAGCGUUAUCCGGAUUUAUUGGGUUUAAAGGGUGCGUAGGCGGCCUAUUAAGUCAGGGGUGAAAGACGGUGGCUCAACCAUCGCAGUGCCUUUGAUACUGAUAGGCUUGAAUACACUUGAAGUAGGCGGAAUGUGACAAGUAGCGGUGAAAUGCAUAGAUAUGUCACAGAACACCGAUUGCGAAGGCAGCUUACUAAGGUGCAAUUGACGCUGAGGCACGAAAGCGUGGGGAUCAAACAGGAUUAGAUACCCUGGUAGUCCACGCCCUAAACGAUGAAUACUCGAUGUUAGCGAUAUACAGUUAGCGUCUAAGCGAAAGCGUUAAGUAUUCCACCUGGGGAGUACGCCCGCAAGGGUGAAACUCAAAGGAAUUGACGGGGGCCCGCACAAGCGGAGGAGCAUGUGGUUUAAUUCGAUGAUACGCGAGGAACCUUACCCGGGCUUGAAAGUUACUGAAGUAUUCAGAG
rnacentral:rRNA from 2 species